UACGAAGGGUGCAAGCGUUACUCGGAAUUACUGGGCGUAAAGCGUGCGUAGGCGGUUGGUUAAGUCUGCUGUGAAAGCCCUGGGCUCAACCUGGGAACUGCAGUGGAUACUGGCCAGCUAGAGUGUGUCAGAGGAUGGUGGAAUUCCCGGUGUAGCGGUGAAAUGCGUAGAGAUCGGGAGGAACACCAGUGGCGAAGGCGGCCAUCUGGGACAACACUGACGCUGAGGCACGAAAGCGUGGGGAGCAAACAGGAUUAGAUACCCUGGUAGUCCACGCCCUAAACGAUGCGAACUGGACGUUGGGCACACUUAGGUGCUCAGUGUCGAAGCUAACGCGUUAAGUUCGCCGCCUGGGGAGUACGGUCGCAAGACUGAA
rnacentral:rRNA from 1 species